CGCCUGUUUUACCAAAAACAUCGCCUCUUGCAAAACAUAAGUAUAAGAGGUCCCGCCUGCCCAGUGACAAGAUAGUUUAACGGCCGCGGUAUUUUGACCGUGCAAAGGUAGCGUAAUCACUUGUCUUUUAAAUGAAGACCCGUAUGAAUGGCAUAACGAGGGCUUAACUGUCUCCUUCCCCCAGUCAAUGAAAUUGAUCUCCCCGUGCAGAAGCGGGGAUAAAAUCAUAAGACGAGAAGACCCUAUGGAGCUUUAGACGCAAAGACAGAUCAUGUCAAAUACACCUAGUUAUAGGCCUGAACUAAAUGAAACCAGUCUUGAUGUCUUCGGUUGGGGCGACCAUGGGGAACACAAAACCCCCACGUGGAACAGGAGUACACCCCUAUCUUUCCCACCUCCUACAAACUAGAGCAACAGCUCUAAUAAGCAGAAAUUCUGACCAAACUGAUCCGGCAACGCCGAUCAACGAAUCAAGUUACCCUAGGGAUAACAGCGCAAUCCCCUUUUAGAGCCCAUAUCGACAAGGGGGUUUACGACCUCGAUGUUGGAUCAGGACAUCCUAAUGGUGCAGCCGCUAUUAAGGGUUCGUUUGUUCAACGAUUAAAGUCCUACGUGAUCUGAGUUCAGACCGGA
rnacentral:rRNA from 1 species